CUGGGGGCGUGCUGAGACGCGUCUGGGAUACAGGACAAGCGAGCCUGGCUCCCCUCUCUGAUUCACGAGGUAAUGACUGGUUUACCGGCUGUGAACUCCUAGCGGAGGGCACGCCUGGCACGCACCUCGCCCUCAGCGCCGGGCCGCCGUCUUCCUUUCCUCCUUGGCCAUUUGCGAGCUCCUCUGAGCAUGCACUUGAAGAGGGACGUUGACAUAAAGAGCUCUCAGAGGGAAGCAGCCCGAUAGUGAGGAUACAAGACUCCGCAGCAUUGCACUGCGUGGGGCAUGGUGUCUGUCCUCGUAUCUCCGAGGGCUGUCAAAGGACUUCCCGAUUCAGCGUCUCCCCAGUGUGGGAAGGACCGCUAUCCAACCUGGGGGAGUGGGCUGGAGCUGUGCUACCACAGAGGCCUACCAAUACGAGAGGACCAUAAUAAUUCUCUUUCCCCAGUGGAUCUGCACCUUGGAAAGCUGGAUGCUGACCUGACGAUGGCACAAUAGAAGAUGACUCAGGGAAGGAAUCCUGGCACCGGUGGUUUCCCAACCAGACUCCUUUACUACAGUAUUCCUUUAUCACACUCCUGGCAUCUGUGUUCAGAGAUGCAAUCAAACGGACAGCCUGAACAAAACUCAUAGAUAAAUAGGUGAUGUUGCUACCUUAAAGAACCCAUUUUGGAAUGAUUGGAGUGUCCAGACCUCGCAGGAUGUAAUGCAAUGUAGUGAUUAAAUGUCCGGACUUCGGAGUCCAAUAGACAUGGCCCGGAGUUCAGCUCUGCUUCUCAUUCACUAUGGGGUCUUAGGCAAUUUUCGUAAGCUUGUUGGCCUCAUUUUCCUCAUCUUCGUAAGUUUUGUGCUCCUCACACAUCUGUUUGGAGGGUUAAAAGAGGUAACGCUGAUGCGCAGGUGAGCGCAGCCCCUGGCCCCUCGGAACUGCGCCGCUGGGCCAGCUCUCGUGUGGUUGCUGCUGAUUCAUCACCAGCAGGAAGCCAGCCCUCCCCGUCUCGCUGGCGUUUGCCCAUCUCACCCAGCUCCAACGACCUUAAAGGCAGCCUGCUCCACAGGAAUUCAAGUACCUCUGAUAGAUUUUGUAGGUUUGUGUCUGUUUGUGGAUGGAGAGAGCUGCAAAGCAUAUCAAAGUCCUUGACCCCUCGUGAAACCAAGUGCUUCUUCAAACAGUCAAUCGCAUCUCAGUGUCUUACGCACAAAACAAUUUCAGACAUUUCUUCCUGGUGUCCAGCCGCCUGGUGUCCUGACCCCACAGCAACAGGGACCUACAGGAGAACCACAUUCUCCCCAUCUAGGUAGCUGCUAGGCGUGUCUCUUGCCUUUCUGAUCAGGUUCGCUUCCAUGGAAACAGGAGCAUUUACUCCCUCCUCCUCACUUCCUACUGCCACGAGCAUGUGGGUCUGGGGAAGGAAUUCCUAUUUCACUUUUUCUGGAUGAGACUGAGCAGCCAGGCUGGGCUACGUUACCAAAGCUAAGAAGUUCCCUGUAUCUGCCUCCAAAACAAACCCAUUCAUGGAUGUGGGCCACAUCUUGGUGUCUCUCUCAGCCUAGAGCCACACUAUACCCUGAAGGUGCUGAGAAAUGUAUGCGGAGUUAAUGGAUGAGUGAAUAAGUAAACAAUUAAGAAGGCCAGCUGAGUGAGUUGCAUUAACCAUGGGCUGCACCAGUGCCAGACAUCAGGGAAGGAACCCCUAGGCUCUGCUGGAAGAACACCCUUUAUUCUCUAGCAAAGCAUGAAGAAGGAGGUGGUGAAGAAGCGGGAGGAGAAAGAAGAACGGAGACAGUUAAAAAGUGAAUGCAGUUCCAUUUAUGUGUAUAUCGUUUUACAAACUGCAAGGCAUCUACCUGUUCAUUCCGGACUCAAUAUGUUUUUGUCAAACAACUCCAUCAUGUGCCUGCAGUUUCUGCCCCCGCUUCACAUAAUCCUGAAAAGUAUGAAGGAAAUAAUACUCCCCCCAUGGGACGAUGAGCGAACUGAGGCUUGCUCGGAAAGGAAGACUGCUUGUCCAAGAGCACACGGCUGCUCCCUUGCAGGGGGACCGGGACUCGAAUCCCAGGUUGUGGCCACCAUCUACACCAAGCCACCUCCCCUGUGCUUGGAUUAGACAAGCGAAAUUCAAGCUAUUCGUGAACCAUAACAAAUGCCCCCAAAUAUACAUACUGGGCAAGAAAGACUUUAUGCUUAUUCAGGAGCUCAAAUUAUGUGACCCUUGCUUUCCUAAUACAGUUUAUGCCCAGAAUUUAAAAAGGGAAGAUUCGAUGACAUUUAUAAUCCACAUCUAGACAGUCAAGAAUUAACAACAUUCAUCUGCAGGGUGCAAUAAACACGAUAGCAAGCUUUCUGGCUAUCACAUAAGCAAGCCAGCCAAUUUCAGUGCUACUAUUUAGGUUUGAGCUAUGAACCCUGCUCAGAUUAAACAGCAGCAUUUUGCUGAAUCUUGAGCUGAGAGCCAAUACCGGUGACUACACCAGAAUCAGAAGCUAGCGUCCAAGGACCCACCAGUGAACCAUUUCAAACCUGAAAGAAAUUGGAAAACACCGGACUUGAAAGUCAAAAUAACGUCCAGGAAUAAAUGUCAGCCAUUCCAACACCGUCUUCAAUCUGGCCCCUGAAACUGACUGACCAGGAGGGGCCCCUGCCCACAUGCCAAUAAUAAACCUGGGCUAACGCCGCAGCCAAGUCCACCAAAGCCAACACAGUCGACCUGGUUAUUUGGAAACCAAUAUGGAUUGUGGGGGAAAAAAGUAGAAAACAAAAAUUUUCAUUUUUCAGUGGGAGCCAUUUCGCAGAGAACAGGGGUAACGGCAAAUUUCACGUUUCACGCUUGCGAUCCCGGGUGACUGAGCGUGCUGCUCUUCCACGCCUGCUUUUGUGCUGUCACCCGCCUGCAGGGACACAGGCAAGGUCGCUAGAGGACAGACUGGUGCGUCCUUUGUAGCGUGAGCCCUGAGACCCGGGCACUCGGAUUGCUGCGGAGGAAGGUUAACAAGCACAGUAACCAGAAAAAGGAGCCAGAGGCAAUCAACCGAUCGAUUGAUCAGGUUACUGAAUGCAUUUCCACUUCUGUUGGAAUUUGAACUGUUUGUUGAGGUGAUGGUGGGGAGAGUUAGGAACUGGAACAAGAAACAGGAGGAAUUUGAGAUGGAAGGCAACAGUGGACGGGGUUAAUGGAGUGACCUGCUGUAUUUGUUGGCCAAAUCCCUCUGGUCAUUUCCUUUCUCCCACUUCAAACAGGCUUCUGUCGCCACCAUUCCACUGAAAUUGCUUUUGCCAAGAUCCCAACUUGCAAAGCUAAAUUUCCUACUUACAAGAAGUGACUGACCCUGCAGUGCACAUCUAACCUUGAUUCACCACCACUGAGGCACAAGGUGUGGGCCCUCCUAGCAGGCAGGGACCAAGGCUCAGAGACUUGAACCUGUUACAGGUCUUGAGACAAGGAAUUGACUGUAAGCUCUUAAUCUGAGAGGUGGUUCUAAGGAGCAUCAGCAGAGGAGCGGAGGGGAGAGACAGGGAAGGGAGGGGAGCCUAGGCAGGGUGUGUUCACGAGAAGGGUCUCACUCUGGGAAACUGCGUUCGGUCCCACCGGAGGCUUCUGGGAGGCUGUACAGGGCUGUGUCAGUCACCACACAGGAGGCAUUCAUGCACCUGCCCCAGCUGUCACUGGCUGAGGGCAGCUCCUGGAGGCGCUGACACCCCAGGACUUCCAGCCUUCCUCUGGGUGGUCGUUAUGUGUCUCUGCUUGCUCUCUUGGGGUCUCAUCUCUGCUGUGUUAAACAGCUCAGGCUGGUCUGCAGAAUGAUGAGCUAGCAUGUGAGCCAGAAUAAGCCAUUUACGUCCUCAUAUGUGAGACAGCUUAGCCAAGGUCCGCAAAGCAAUUUGCGAUUGACUCGUUGCUGACCACAGACACACACAGUAGCCCAGCCCCCAACCAAAAGAACCAUCCCACAUAACCAUGGGCUAAAAAAUGUUACUUUUUAAAGCCACUGAGUUUUGGGGUGAUUCAUAACGCAGCAAAAGCUAGCCGUUACGCCAGCCUAAAUCAGCGGGCACCAGAAGUGGUCUUAGGAAAAAGAACAUCAGGGUGAGAUUCUGGAACUGGCUCGCUUAUGGACCAGAAGACUGCAAGCGCCCCGCUUCCGGAGGUAAAUGUGGAGGUGGUAAGCAUCCCGGGGCACGCAGCAUCCCGGGGACUGAAGCCCUCACCUUUGGUGCACUGGGUGGGGCAGCGGUGAAGAGGAGCAGCCAGGCUCCUACAGGGGCUCCAGCACUGGUGUCCUUAAAGGCCGCGGGGAUGAGGCCUGCGGAACUGCUUGCCAGUUGCAAAGGAUCACAGAUGCCCUGAAAGAAGAAAAUGACAGCCAUCAACUCCACGUUCUGGUAUAAAAGCAGAAGUCUGCACCGGAGCGUGCGAAGGGGAGCUCAUCUCCCUGACCCGGAAGACAGGCUGCGCCGAAUAAUCAGGCCCAGUAUUUAUUGUAAAUGUGGGAGAGACAGAAGUCACCCACGUGGAAGCCGGGGCUCUGAUCGAGAAGGCGUGGGACGUUGAGCCUGGGGGUGGGGAACUUCAGGUAGAUACCCUGGAGAACCUUAAGUCUCUCUGAUUAACUUGAGUAAGCACGAGGGUCUACACGCCCCUUGUUAGGAGAGAGAAAUCUCAGUGUCUGGAGAGCACACACGUGCCUCGCUUGAGAUGACUGUCUUGCAAGAUGACAUCAGUUCUUUUCAAAUCUGGUCCCACCUCCCCUCAUUGCUUCUAGACCAAUAGCCAAGGUCGUUUCUGCAAGGCACACGUGGGAAGUGCUGACCCUCCUCUGGGAAGAAGCAUGCUAA